rnacentral:precursor_RNA from 13 species
AGGGCCCCAGGUGACAUACGGCACGGUGUGAGGAGGCCGUAUCUCCUGCGGAGUGAUGGUGGAAUCUGCCGCGAAGUGUACGACCUCCCCUCACAGCGCUAGCUCCUGCCAUCCAGAGAAA